ensembl:snRNA U6 U6 spliceosomal RNA
GUGACUCGCCUUAGCAGCUCAUACGCUAAAAUUGGAAUGAUAUAGAGAUUAGCAUGGCCCCUGUGCAAGGAUGACCUGCCAAUUCGUGAAGCCGUCCUUAAGUUU